UACGUAGGGGGCUAGCGUUGUCCGGAAUCAUUGGGCGUAAAGAGCGUGUAGGCGGCUCGGUAAGUCCGCUGUGAAAGUCCAGGGCUCAACCCUGGGAUGCCGGUGGAAACUGUCGGGCUAGAGUCCGGAAGAGGCGAGUGGAAUUCCUGGUGUAGCGGUGAAAUGCGCAGAUAUCAGGAGGAACACCAAUGGCGAAGGCAGCUCGCUGGGACGGUACUGACGCUGAGACGCGAAAGCGUGGGGAGCAAACAGG
rnacentral:rRNA from 1 species